rnacentral:rRNA from 1 species
UACGUAGGGGGGCAAGCGUUGUCCGGAAUUAUUGGGCGUAAAGAGCGCGUAGGCGGUCCGAUAAGUCGGCUGUGAAAGUCAGGGGCUCAACCCUUGAAAGCCGGCCGAUACUGUCGGACUAGAGUCCGGAAGAGGCAAGUGGAAUUCCCGGUGUAGCGGUGAAAUGCGCAGAUAUCGGGGAGGAACACCAGUGGCGAAGGCGAGUCUCUGGGAUGAUGCUGACGCUGAGGCGCGAAAGCCAGGGGAGCAAACGGG